UUCCUCUUUAUCCUAGAGGAGAUUGCUGCUAUGGGAGUCCGGCUUAGGCAUGCAAGUCUGACCGAAAGGUCGGCGAACUGCUCAUUAACACGUCGAUAACCUGCCCUUUACUGGAGAAUAAUCUUGGGAAACUGAGUGUAAUACUCCGUAAGAGAUUGGUGCUGGAAUGCUCUUUCUCUAAUAGCUUCGGCGGUAGAGGAUGGGUCGGCGGUGGAUUAGGUAGUUGGCGGUGUAAUGGACCACCAAGCCAAAGAUCCAUAGGGGCCAUGAGAGUGGGUGCCCCGAGAAGGAAACUGAGAAACUGUUCCUAGCCCUACGGGGUGCAGCAGCUGCGUGAACUUUCCAAUGCCCGCAAGGGUGAGAAGGGGACUCCUAGUGCUCAGUUCUACUGGGCUUUUGCCAAGAGCAAAAAUUUUGGCGAAUAAGUGGUGGGCAAGACUGGUGCCAGCCGCCGCGGUAACCCCAGCGCCACUAGUGGCAAUCGCGUUUAUUGGGUCUAAAGCGUCCGUAGCCGGCCUUGUAAAUUCCUUGUGAAAUCGUGGGGCUUAACUUCACGGCGUGCAGGGGAGACUGCUUGACUUGGGACUGAGAGAGGUAUGAGGUAUUUCCGGGGGACCGGUUAAAUGGGAUAAUCCCGGAAGGACCGCCAAUGGCGAAGGCAUUAUACCAGAGCAGAUCCGACGGUGAGGGACGAAAGCCAGGGGAGCGAUCCGGAUUAGAUACCCGAGUAGUCCUGGCUGUAAACGCUGUGAGCUAGAUGUUACGCGUCCUUCGUGGGCGUGUUGUGUCGUAGAGAAGUCGUUAAGCUCACCACCUGGGGAGUACGGUCGCAAGGCUGAAACUUAAAGGAAUUGGCGGGGAAGCACUACAAGGGGUGCGGCGUGCGGUUUAAUCGAAUUCAACGCCGAGAAUCUCACCAGAGGCGCCGGCAGGAUGAAGGCCAGUCUAAAGGGCUUUCCUGACGAGCCG
rnacentral:rRNA from 1 species